rnacentral:tRNA from 1 species
GAAGGUGUAGCUCAGUGGUAUAGCACAUGCUUAGCAUUCAUGAGGUUCUGGGUUCAACCCCUAGUAUCUUCU